UGGUGAGGUGCAGAGGAGGACUGAGACAAACAGGGAGGGAGGGUAACAGAGCGGGAGAGAGACUGUGGAGAGAGAGAGCUAUUAGUGUGUUGCACCUCAAAAAGUGGGAAUUGAGAUCAACAUGCAAGGGGAACGCCAGCUUAUGACACACGGGCGGUACUGGUGUGUGCGCACGAACAGAGGAAGCCGCGCCGAAGCAUCAGAGGAAAAGAGAGCACGAGAUCAGAGAAGUUUGUGUCAUUAUGAGUUCAUGAUUUUGUGAUAAGGAGGAUGAAAGAGAGCCAUCCGGGCUGUGACAGCUGAGCUAAAUCCAGAGAACAGCAGAUCAUGGAGGCAACAAGAAUGAAACGUUACCCUACCAGCCAGAUGAAAAGACAGGCAGGAAAACACACGAGAGGGGAGGAAGAGGAAGGAGAAGAAACAAAGUCAGGAAGUAAAAACACUCAGGAGACAGACAGAGUGUGGGAGGACGACAGCUUCAAAUGAGGGGGGGUCUGAGUGAAGCAUGUGAUGCACUGCAAGGCGUGAAAAUGUCACCGCAAUGUGCUAAAUCCACAGUUUCCUUUCACGCUGACCGCGGAGAGCCGGUGAGCAGAGUCCAGGCAUGCUGCAGUCUACAUCUGCAUCGUAUUUGAGACAAAUGGUUCUGGAACCCCUACGAUCAAAACCUUCCUCAAAAACCUGUUAUAUACAACAUGUUUCUUACAUCAUCCACUUUAACUGCUAUUAGGAUGUUUUGUACAGACAGACACUAGGACUGUUUUACCAAAGCUUCUGUUGGACGACGGCAUGAGAGUGUUUGGGUUCAUCUUUAGUUUAGUUUGGAAUUGUCUCAGUGGAAGGUUUCGCCUUGUAAAGUGGACAAGCAACUCAAGAGCGUGUUACUGUUGAUGUCAGUCUCUGAAGACGAUAGAGCUUCAGGAGUAAAAGAAAGGAUGUGAACCAGGACCAACUGACCUCUGAGAGAGCACUGGGCAUAGAGUGGAACAUUGAGGUGGACACUUUGAGAAUACAAACCUAUGUUCAGAGCCUCCGUGCACCAGAAGAGGAACCGUAUCAGUAGUAAGUUUGAUUCCUAGCACCCUUGGUUGAGACUACAACACUUCUUCUCAGAGAGUUGUGCAAGAAGGAAAAAGGUAUGGGACGAAAAUAUUCUGGACAAUCAACAAAAGAGAUGGUCAAAGUGGUUGUAUGUUCUGAAAAAAACUGUAAAAAAAAUAGAAUUUGUUUAUUUUUAAUAUAUGAAAACAUUGAAACGAAGAACCUCCAGGUUUUUUUAAUACACAAAAAAUGAAAAAGAGGAUCAACCCUUCCGCUUCCAUAGAAAGUGAAAACAGCUCGGGUCCAGAAGAUGCAGCAGAACUUAAAGCCCGAUUCUCCAAAUCUGUCUUGACAUUGGGAACAAGCAGAUGAUACAAAUCCUUUGAACAAAAAGCAUUGUGACUUCUUGACCUUUGUAACAGAGAACUUCAGUACAAGAAGAGAUUUGUAGAUCAGCCAUACAGUGACAACACCCAGAUUGUGCGGUUUUGAUCAAAAUCUCUGUAUUUUGUGUUUUUGAGUAUGCUAAUGAUAAUGAACUUCCUGUUUGACAUUUAUUUAGUGAUUGUAUCUGACACAAAGUAGGUCCUUUUUUUAAUCAAUUUUCUUAAAAAAUGGUUAUUCAUGGAGUUCAAUAGGAAUCUGUUUCAUAAAGUUUGGAUCAGCAAAAAUGUCAGAUGUAAUAUGAUUAAAAAAUAUCUCAAAAUUGGUCUUUAAAUCAAGACAGGAAGUAACAAAUAAUGGAUUACUAAGUAUUGUUAAUCAUUGAGGAACUUGGGUUUUUUUCUCAAAUCUGAUGGUUUUUAGAUAUUUUUUGGGCUUGAAAACCAUGACUCUAUCUGGCAACACUGAAAUCCCUUUAUGGAGAGAAAAUAGACUCACCCCAACCCCCACCUGCAUUCUUGGUUUGUGUGUAACUUUGGGUUUGUGUGUGCAUAAUUCCUGAUUUGUGACUCCUACAAUUUAUUUUGUGCAUUUUGUGAUUAAAAUUAUGAAAUUAAAAAAUGCUAUUUGCACAUGCACGAAUUAAAAUGACAGCAGCUUGAAAAUAACAGACAAAUCUUUAAAAGUUACGUACAAAUCGCUUAUGUACACACAAAUCCACAUUUAAGCACAAAUCUGAGGUGAGACUCUAGGAAAAAGUUUUCACCAGAUAUUAUUUACAAUCUGAGUUCAAAGCGGCUGAAAAGAAAACUGAUGACCGAUCAUUCCCGUAGAAAAAACAUCUUAUUGGUGUGUAAAUGCGGUUUUGUGUUUGAACGACAAGUGAUUCAGGCGGGAUUUUUAAAGAUUUGUGUGUAAUUCCGUUUCAAGAUGCUGUAAUUUUAAUUUUUGCAUGUGUAAAUUUUAUUCUGUAUUUUCUUUUGUUUAAUCAUUUUUGUACUUAUGCACAAAAUGUAUUAAAUGAGUUGCUAAUCAAGGAUAUGCACGCACAAACCCAAAGAUACACACAAAUCAAGAAUCACGCAAGGACAAAUCCAGGUACCAGGAAUUUGUGAGUUCUGAGGGAAAAAUCAGGUUUAUUUCUGUAAAUAAAACCAUACUUCAGCCUCAACUUACAUAUACAAAGUAUACCUGGAAAGCUCUGGUCUAAUAAAUCCACUGUACUAAUCAGCUCUGGUGUUCUUCCAGAGUUCUCCCAUCAUUUAGUGAGAGAAACUGCUGGCAGUGGCAUGAAAAGUCUCAGGAAUGUAUCUUCAGUGACAGCACAAUUAUUCCUGAAAGACUCCAGCAAUUACUGCGACCUGCAUGUAGACAAAGUCUGCUGAUGUGGAAUCCACACGUCUAAAUUUAGACAGCAGCUGUAAGCCUGCUGAGGACAGCAGGGACCAGCAAGUCCACAGAUGACUGGCGUUCGGAAAGGUCUUCAGAGGUGCAUGAGCGCCCCCCAGUGUUCACAAAAAGAAUCACACCAAAAACCCAGCCAUGUGUAUUUAGAACACCUUCUCUGAAGAUCUGACAUGUGGACAGGAAGAUCUUCGUAA